GUCCACGCCGUAAACGUUGGGCACUAGGUGUGGGUCACAACCAACGUGAUCUGUGCCGUAGCUAACGCAUUAAGUGCCCCGCCUGGGGGAGUACGGCCGCAAGGCUAAAACUCAAAGGAAUUGACGGGGGCCCGCACAAGCGGCGGAGCAUGUUGCUUAAUUCGAGGCAACGCGAAGAACCUUACCUGGGCUUGACAUGUAGGCAAAAGCCGUAGAGAUACGGUGUCCUUGGGGCCCUACACAGGUGGUGCAUGGCUGUCGU
rnacentral:rRNA from 1 species